GUUUGCAUAGUUUAAACAAAACAUUACAUUUUCAAUGUAAAAUUAGAAUUAGUUCUUGCGAAUU
rnacentral:tRNA from 1 species